AGUACUGUUCUUCAUGAAACAGAUUGAAAAUAUUACGAGCAUGCUCAGAGUAGUAAAACGUCCAUCCAAUGAUACACAUUGGAUUAGUAGGGCACAGGUAGCCCAGAGUUAAAUAAACCAUAAUAAUCAGGCAAUCACGUGCACACCUACVAAGUAACAAAAUUUCCCAUAAUUUCUUGGUUUGAUAGCACAGGAAUACCAAAGUCACAUGGUGCUCUGCAGGUGUUACGUUCCAUCGACGUUUGAUCCUUUGGAUACUUUUGCAAUCAAAAAACAACAAAUGGACAUGCCGUUCGCGAUAGASUAACACUAAAAGUUGUUCAAAUCCUAGAAAAUACUUACUCCUUCGUCAACAGUAAUAAUCCUAACAAGACCAAACAUUGAAGUACUAUAACAGCACAUGUAAGGACGCCAUAUUUGAAUUCUUCGAGAAGACUAACGAUUAGAUGUCUACAAUCCUGUACAAUUGGCUCUAGACUCACAGCGAUAAGUUAAUUUGUUGUAAUAGCGAUGUUUUAUGGCAAUAAAUAGCUGAAAAUCCAUAUCCUUUUGCAAAGUGUUUUAUUUGUGGAGAAACUGGUCACUUAUCACGGAGCUGUCCAGAUAACCCUAGAGGCCUGUAUCCAAAAGGUGGAGGCUGC